rnacentral:rRNA from 1 species
GUCCUACGGGGGGCAGCAGUAGGGAAUUUUCGGCAAUGGGGGGAACCCUGACCGAGCAACGCCGCGUGAACGAAGAAGUUAUUCGUAAUGUAAAGUUCUUUUAUCAGGGAAGAAAGAGGAAUUUGACGGUACCUGAGGAAUAAGCUCCGGCUAACUCCGUGCCAGCAGCCGCGGUAAUACGGAGGAUGCGAGCGUUAUCCGGAUUUAUUGGGUUUAAAGGGUGCGUAGGCGGGCUUUUAAGUCAGCGGUAAAAAUUCGGGGCUCAACCCCGUCCGGCCGUUGAAACUGGGGGCCUUGAGUGGGCG